UUCAAAUGCAGCCUCAGCACUUCCUUCCUGUGAGACCCUGGGUGAGCCCCUUGCCCCUGGUCUGUCUCAGUUCUUCAUCUUUAAAAAAGGGGUAGUAAUAGCACGUUCCCCCCAAAGGGAGGAUCAAAGAGAUAAGUUGUCUCCGGCUAAUUACGGAACUCUUUCUGGACAAUCCCAAGGUUUUUAUAAGGGUUUGCAAAACGGAUUUUGCUGCACAAAAGUUUUAUUUUAGGUUGUGGGGAUGAAAUAUCCAUCUCAUUUUGGUUCUGUUAGCCCUGCAAAGAUUGGAAAUAAUAAGAAAUAAAGGCGAUGGAGAAGGGGAAACAUGGGGUUCUGUUAGCCCUGCAAAGAUUGGAAAUAAUAAGAAAUAAAGGCGAUGGAGAAGGGGAAACAUGGGGUUCUGUUAGCCCUGCAAAGACUGGAAAUAAUAAGAAAUAAAGGUGAUGGAGAAGGGGAAACAUGGGGUUCUGUUAGCUCUGCAAAGAUUGGCAAUAAUAUGAAAUAAAGAUGGAGAUUUGGUGCUUUUGUGAAA